GCUAGAUCCAUAGAAUUGUGUUGGUGUGCACCGGCGCCGUUGCUGCAAGUGUGUCUCUGUCGCCGUGUUGUUGUGAGUGUGCCCAUGGUCGAAUCCGGUUGUUAUCCUUCAGAUUCUAUUGUGGUAAUCUUCGUUUGUUCUCUUUCGCCUCAUUUUCGAUAGUGUUCGGCGUUGCUGCGUUCUUACUUCUUUGGUGUGUUCAGGCAGGUACUCAAGAUUAGUCAUGGAGGUCCGAGGUUAUUUAUGUGAAGUCUUUACGUUGCUUUAUGGAAAGUCAGGUUGGUGUCCAUUGCUCUGAUACGUAGCACUCGGGGGGAUUAGUCGUUAUUUUAUGAUUAUUGUAUUCCAUGAUGACAUUUGUGUUAAGAUGAAUUGAAAGGUGUUUAUAAGUUUAAGUUGUAAGGAGUGAAUGAA